GUUUAGGAUCUACAACGAGAAGGAUAACACUAGAUUGAAUCAUGGUUUAGUUUAGAGAUUUGACGCCCUCUUCUUCAGAGUCGCGAUACCUUAUAAUAUCAUAUCAUAAGGACAGUGAGGUAUAGACCAAAUUUCUUGUAGGUACGCCAUUAGCUGGCCAAUAUGCUGCUCCAUGGCCAUCUUUGGAAGAACUUCCUAGUUUAGAUGAUUGGACUCUUGAAUAUAACAGUCGUCCUCCCAAGACGUGGGUACUUUGCACUCUAAUCAUCGUACCAAAAAUAUUGCAACUUAUUUUCCAUGUUUGGAGCGAUGAAUCAUAAAUGGAGAAACUCGAUGGGAUGAUACUUUCACACUUGAUGGAGAGUUUCACUACAUUCCAAUCUAUUGGGAGUGGGCUGAAGAUAUGCUUAGUAGGAGUCGCCAGUCUUUGAAAGACACAAAAAUAUUCGAUGUUGUGUAUGAUUCGCUUUUUACUUAUGAUCAUAACACUAACAUCUUGCAAGCCUUCUGUGAAGCUUGGUGUCCUGUUACAAAUAAACUGCUUACCUUAGUCGGAGAACUGUCUAUAUCACUUUAGGAUUUACACGUAAUUGAUGAUCUACCCAUAACAGGAAGUCUUUACGAGGAGGUCGUGCCAAACGUUGCAGAACUUUUAGGCACAUUUGAUAAGGGAAAAAGAUUUCUUCCUCACUCUUGUGAGCAUUUAUUUGAUGCCUUUCACCAUAUUCGAGUAGAGAAUAAUGAUGACCCAAAUAUUUCUGUGGAAAGAUAGAUAGAGUUUUGGUGUAAGAAAGAUGCAAAGUAUGGACAAUCCUCGCAAGAAGACAAAAGAAGUUCGUCCGUCUCAAGUCAUCUCAUAACCCAACUGGCGUAAUUAGCGAGUCUAUAAAUUGAUCUCCUGCUGAAGAAGCUUUGUUUUACAAGUUAGAAGUUAAGAGUAACAAGAAAAAUGAAACAUACUUGACAACUUUUUUAUCUUCCUCGUUGUGUGUAUUUGUGCUUCCUACAAAAGAGGAUGGAUUUAUUCAUCCAGGCGUCUUUAGAAUCAACUGUCAUUUGGUAUGUGGUCGAAGAGUUAGUCUUGCAGUUCCAGUCUUAGCAAGUAUUUACAAAGGUCUAAACACAAUUUUAAGAUGCUGACGACUUGAUCUCAUCCAAACUUAUUUUCUUAUUCAUUAUGUGUAUGGUUGGUUGGCCUAUUACUUCAAGACUCAUUACACAAUUUUAGACUAGCUUAUUAUGAGCUAUUCAUUUUUUUAGCAUUCUGAUUGAUUAGUUGUCACUCUUUUAGAAAUCCUUUUGAUUGCAUUAUAUUGCACAUUUCUUUAAGUAUUUCUUUUAUGUUU